rnacentral:rRNA from 1 species
GGAGCGGCCGAUAUCAGAUUAGGUAGUUGGUGAGGUAAAGGCUCACCAAGCCGACGAUCUGUAGCUGGUCUGAGAGGACGACCAGCCACACUGGGACUGAGACACGGCCCAGACUCCUACGGGAGGCAGCAGUGGGGAAUUUUGGACAAUGGGCGCAAGCCUGAUCCAGCAAUGCCGCGUGCAGGAUGAAGGCCUCGGGUUGUAACUGCUUUGUACGGAACGAAACGGUGAGCUCUAAUACAGUUUGCUAAUGACGGUACCGUAAGAAUAAGCACCGGCUAACUACGUG